rnacentral:rRNA from 1 species
CCUGGAAUGGGCGCAAGCCUGACCGCCUGCCGCGUGAGGGAUGAAGGCCUUCGGGUUGUAAAGCUCUUUAGUCCACGAAUAUAAUGACUGUAGUGGAAGAAUAAGCCCCGGCUAACUUCGUGCCAGCAGCCGCGGUAAUACGAGGGGGGCGAGCGUUGUUCGGAAUCACUGGGCGUAAAGAGUGCGUAGGCGGUUAUGAAAGUUAGAAGUGAAAGCCCAGAGCUCAACUCUGGAAUCGCUUUUAAAACUACAUAACUCGAAUUCGGGAGAGGAUAGCGGAAUUGUCAGUGUAGCAGUGAAAUGCGUAGAUAUUGACAGGAACACCAGUGGCGUAAGCGGCUAUCUGGACCGACAUUGACGCUGAGGCACGA